GGCUUAGGACGAACGCUGGCGGCGUGCCUAACACAUGCAAGUCGAGCGAGGAGAUUCCUUCGGGAUGAUCCUAGCGGCGGACGGGUGAGUAACACGUGGGCAACCUGCCUCAUAGAGAGGAAUAGCCUUCCGAAAGGGAGAUUAAUACCUCAUAACAUUGCAGUUUCGCAUGGAACAGCAAUUAAAGGAGUAAUCCGCUAUGAGAUGGGCCCGCGGCGCAUUAGCUAGUUGGUGAGGUAACGGCUCACCAAGGCGACGAUGCGUAGCCGACCUGAGAGGGUGAUCGGCCACAUUGGGACUGAGACACGGCCCAGACUCCUACGGGAGGCAGCAGUGGGGAAUAUUGCACAAUGGGGGAAACCCUGAUGCAAGCAACGCCGCGUGAGUGAUGACGGCCUUCGGGUUGUAAAGCUCUGUCUUCAGGGACGAUAAUGACGGUACCUGAGGAGGAAGCCACGGCUAACUACGUGCCAGCAGCCGC
rnacentral:rRNA from 1 species